AGUCACUGGCGCACGGGUGAGUAACGCGUAGACAAUCUGCCCUGGAGUGGGGAAUAACAUCGCGAAAGUGGUGCUAAUGCCGCAUAAAGCAGCGAAUCCGCAUGGAUAUGCUGUUAAAGCAGCAAUGCGCUUCAGGAUGAGUCUGCGUCCGAUUAGUUAGUUGGUGAGGUAACGGCUCACCAAGACGUUGAUCGGUAGCUGGUCUGAGAGGAUGAUCAGCCACACGGGGACUGAGACACGGCCCCGACUCC
rnacentral:rRNA from 1 species